AUUCAUCACUCUUAAUUAGUCUCUGGAUCUCUCACCGUGACCCUGCGUUCACUUCGUCAGAACCAGUGAAGCAGCAUCUGCUCCCUCGGGUGGUGCUGGUGGUCGUCUUCUCAACCAGAGGCAUUGUUGAAUCUAGAGCCCAAUGCUGGAGGUAUCUCACUGUCAAGGUUGUUCCCAGAAGCGUUGAAGUAGACCAAGCCAGGGAUCAUAGAAAGAUUACUAGAAAUUUUCUCACUGAAGUUAUUAGCAGAGAGAUCCAGCAUUGUUAGGUUUGACAGAUUUGUCAAUGCUUCUGAUAUGUUCCCUGAAAGAUGGUUGUGAUCCACUAACAAAUAUUUCAAUGAGGAGAAUUUGGAAAUAUCCCCAAGCACAUCCCCAGAUAAAUUUUUCCUGCCCAAAUAUUUUUUUAGAUCAUUAGUUAUAUUUAAAAAUUGAUAUUGAAUUAUUAAUGUUUGUAAAGGCUUA